GUUUAGAGCUCUUGAACUUGUACCUGUAUUGAGGUCUGCUCUUCAAACUAGCAAACGUUUUGGGAGAGGUGCAACUAUGCAGUGGAAGACCCUAACAGUUUAAGAUGAAUCUUUUCUUGAGUCACCUUCCAAAUCAUUGUUAGCACUUAGCAGCCUUUGUACUUGCAUCAAAUAAAACUUACAUGACAUGAAAAUUCUACUAGCUCCGCAAAACAAAGGAACACAGUAAUUAGUUUCACAUUGUUCUAGAAUUCAUGCAGAAUGAACUGAGCAAGAUAUUGUCUCAUUUUUGUCUAAGAUGCCCUUUUGUAGGGAUUGUAGUUUCUUCAAUUUUAGUUAUCUCGUGCAUUAUUUGUGAAAUUCAUUUAUGUUUAGAGCUCUUGAACUUGUACCUGUAUUGAGGUCUGCUCUUCAAACUAGCAAACUUUUUGGGAGAGGUGCAACUAUGCAGUGGAAGACCCUAACAGCCUCACUAUUCUUCAAGCUACUAUCAAACCAUUCCAGUUUUAUGUUCUAUAAUGUGACUCAAUGUUUCUAAUGGGCAAUCUCAAUACAGAUUGUGACAUGCAUGACCAGAUUGAUUUCAAGUUAAUUAAAUCCUGGUAAUGCAAAUUCCAUAAUAUUGUCUUACAGCAAUUUAAUCAUAUUUCUAUCUCGAACUCUAAUUUACAUGGGGAACAUAAUGCCUUUAGAUUUAGGAAAUGGGAUGAAGGGGCUUUGUUCAAGUGUAAAGAGGAGGGUAGGUAGUUAUAGUUGAGUUGACUGCUUGGUUGCUUGAGAACUUUCAAGCCUGGUUAGAGAGUAUAGUACUGCUUGUUUGGAUCACCAUGAUUUGACAUUCAUUCGGGGAAGUCUGAAAUAGGUGGACGGAUGAUUUGUGGGAAUGGAAAGAUGCUUUUUUCUUUUUGGUGGUGGAAGUUGGUGGAAGCGGAAGGGACAAUAAGGUUGCAAGGGUAGUGAACCAAAAGGCUAGGUUGUGGAUGGUAAGGUUGGGGAAAGCUGCAGGUUGAGUAGAAGGAAAGGCUAGGUUGUGGUUGGGGAGAUUUUGGCAAUUUUUAUAAUUUACAUUUAUUUUUAUUGCUUUUGAAUUUGUCUUCCAUCUUAUGUCUCAUCCGUGUGCUUCAUCACAUAGGAAUAUUUGUUGGGGCUGGUUUCAACAUUCAACCAAAUGCAUAUGGGAAUUGGUUCCCUCACUUCACUAAUAAGAUUGAACAUGUCACUUCAUGAGAAUUGUUGGUUUACGUAAACUUAAUCUCAAUUUAAGAUGAAUCUUCUCUUGAGUCACCUUCCAAAUCAUUGUUAGCACUUACAGCCUUUCCUUUGUACUUGCAUCAAAUAAUACUCACAUGACAUGACAAUUCUGCUAGCUCCCAAAACAAAGGAGCACAGUAAUUAGGUCCGAGUUGUUCCAGCAUUCAUGCAGAUUGAACUGGACAAUAUAUUGUGUCUCAUUUUUGUCUAAGAUGUCCUUUUGUAGGGAUUGUAGGUUCUUCAAAUUUAGUUAUCUCGUGCAUUAUUUGUAAAAUUCAUUUUUGUUUGGAGCUCAAUUUUACCGAACUUGUACCUGAAUUGAGGUUUGCUCUUCAAACUAGCAAAUGUUUUGGGAGAGGUGCAACUAUGCAGUGGAAGACCCUAAACAACGUCACUAUUCUUCAAGCUACUAUCAAACCAUUCCAGUUUUAUGUUCUAUGAUGUGACUCAGUGUUUCUAAUGGGCAAUCUCAAUACGGAUUGUGACAUACAUGACCAGAUUGAUUUCAAGUUAAUUAAACCCUGGUAAUGCAAAUUCCAUAAUAUUGUCUUAUAGCAUGUUAAUCAUAUUUCUAUCUCGAACUCUAAUUUACGGGGGGAACAUAAUGUCUUCUGGUUUAGUAAAUGGGAUGAAAGGGAUGUGGUCUAGUGUAAAGAGGAGGGUAGGUAGUGAUAGUUUGUUGACUGCAUGGUUGCUUGAGAAUUUUCGAGCCUGGUCAUGGAGUGAGGUAAUGCUUUCUUGGAUCACCAUGAUUUGACAUUCAUUCUGGGAGGUUUGAAAUAGGUGGACGAAAGAUCUGUGGGAAUGGAAAGAUGCUUUUUUCUUUUUGGUGGUGGAAGUUGCUGAAAGAGGAAGGGAUAGUGAGGCUUCAAGGGUAGUGAGCCAAAAGGCUAGGUUGUGGAUGGUAAGGUUGAGGAAUGCUAUAGGUUAGGUGGGAGGAAAGGCUAGGUUGUGGUUGGGGAGAUUUUACAAUUGUUAUUAUUUAUAUUUCUUUUUAUAGCUUUUGAAUUUGUCUUCCAUCUCAUGUCUCAUUUGUGUGAUUCAUCACAUAAGAAUAUCUGUUGAACCAUGUUUCAACAUUCAACCAAAUGCAUAUGGGAAUGGGGUCCGUCACUUCACUAAUAAAAAUUAACAUGUCACUUCAUGUGAAUUGUUGUUUUAUGUAUACUUAAUCUCAGUUUAAGAUGAAUCUUCUCUUGAAUCACCUUCUAAAUCAUUGUUAGCACAUAGCAGCCUUUGUACUUGCAUCAAAUAAAACUCACAUGACAUGGAAAUUCUGCUAGCUCCCCAAAACAAAGGAACACAGUAAUUAGGUCCAAAUUGUUCCAGCAUUCAUGCAGGUUGAACAGGAUAAGAUAUCGUCUCUUUUUUGUCUAAGAUGCCCUUUUGUAGGGAUUGUAGUUUCUUCAAAUUUAGUUAUCUCGUGCAUUAUUUGUAAAAUUCACUUUUGUUUGGAGCUCUAUUUUACCGAACUUGUACCUGAAUUGAGGUCCGCUCUUCAAACUAGCAAACCUUUUGGGAGAGGUGCAACUAUGCAGUGGAAGACCCUAAACAGCCUCACUAUUUUUCAAGCUACUAUCAAAUCAUUCCAGUUUUAUGUUCUAUGAUGUGACUCAAUGUUUCUAAUGGGCAAUCUCAAUAUGGUUUGUGACAUACAAGCCCAGAUUGAUUCCAAGUUAAUUAAACCCUGGUAAUGCAAAUUCCAGAAUAUUGUCUUAUAGCAUGUUAAGCAUAUUUCUAUCUCGAACUCUAAUUUAUGAGGGGAACAAAAUAUCUUUUGAUUUAGGAAAUUGGACGAAGGGGCUGUGGUUAAGAGUAAAGAGGAGGGUAGUUAGUGAUAGUGGAGUUGACUGCAUGGUUGCUUGAGAACUUUCAAGCCUGGUCAUGGAGUGAGGUACUGCUUGCUUGGAUCACCAUUGGCAGUUAGUUGAACCAGUGGCCCAGGAAAUAACGUUGUAGGAGUCCCCUGCUAUGGUGAGAGCUUGGCCCCAAGAGUUGUCAAAUAGUUUGAGGCCCGCAAGAAAUGAUCUAGCUUCUGCUGAUUGGAAAUUUGACCUAUGGACUUCGUGAAAGAGAUCAAAGUGGACCCCUUGUGGUCUCUAUAAAGACCUAUACUUGAUAGCCCUGGGUUGCCUAUGGAACAACCAUCAAAGUGGAGCUUUACGCAGUCCAACUCUGGAGGAAGCCACAAGGAGGCUCGUGAGUUACUCACGUGGUGGUAAGAAAAGGAGAUUAUACCUGUGCAGGUGGAAGGCUAAAGGAGGGAAGCCUUUGAACCGCUUGUGAUUAGUAGCCUUGAAGAUAACUGCUGCGUUGAUUAUAUCAAACAAGGAUUCAAUGGUAGAGAACUGUCCUCAGAAGAUAUGAUUGUUAUGUUUUAUCGAACGAGGGCUGCCAUUGAAGCCUUCCACAAUAUGAUACCUGAAGAGGCCCAGGGGUAGAGGUGGAGAGAGGAAAAGAGAUUGGGAAUAUUUUUUGGGGUCAUCCAUUGCCAUUUGAAGAGCUGAAGAAAAGCUCCCCACAAGGAAUGGGCCAAGGGACAAUAUAUAAAGAGGUGAGGCUUAGUUUCCUCGGCUUCGCGACACAUGAUACAUCAAUUAGGUAAAGUCAAGCCUCUCUUUGCAGUUGGUCAAUCUCUGAAAGAGAGAAAUCCAGUUGAUUGGCAUGUGGGUGCGUGGACAAUGAAGGUUUCACUGUGUGGGUGUGUAGUUUGGCGUGUAUUUCUACUCGUUCAUUCUAGCUUGGUCUUUCAUCUGACUCUGAGAUGUGAGUUUGGCUGCAUUGUUUUAGUAUCAAAUGGGCUAUGAAGAUUCCUAUAUGUAUCAUUAUAUAUACACACACACGUGCACAUCCUGUUCCUGAAUGGUAACUUUAGAAACGUAUUAUCCACAAUUUUAAAAUACCUGUGUCUUUUCCUUUCUAUAAAAUUAGUGGUGGGCAUUAAAUAUAAUUGUGCCUGCUCCAAAUUUUCAAAUUUCAAGACUUUUAAUUUUUUUUUACUUAUCAAAUCCACCUGAACGUUGGAGGGCGUGUGUGCUUAGAAAGAUGCAGCCUAAGAACACUAUGAAAAUAAUUCAAAUACUGAAAAUCAUCAAAAUAGUCCUACAACUAAUUUUUGACAAUUUUUAUUAUUUAAAUUUUUUAGCGAUUUAUGUAUGGACACCCUUUGGGGGCUCUUAUCUGGCAAAGACAAUGCCGAACAGGAGGGCCCAGUAUUUCCACAAAGCACUGGCUCUGUCUGGCGUUUGUUUUACCAGACAACUAGCUUAUGUUGUCCAAUGUUCGUAGUACUGGACAGUGCCCCAAAACCCUGUUUGACCUUUCUUCCUGUCAUUUCUACUUUUCUCUCUCACUCUCUCUUUCUGCCCAGACCUCCCUCUCUCCACAAAGUUGUAGUAUGAAGCUCCACAACCACAGACAUUUGGCCAUCCUAAUCAGAGAGAGAGUCAUAGACCCCUUGACAAAAGCGUGGCUUCCAUGGACUAGUCCCUCACGUGUGUGAUCAAGCCCAUACUAUUGCUUCACUGAGAAAAAAACAAGAUGGUUUCUCAAUUACCUCUAUUGUUAAAUCAAUGUAAUUUUUUGCAAGUGGUAGAGAACUGGGAUAUACGGUAGUAGUAUGGGCUCAUGUUUGGGACAAUUCCAUGCCGGAUGAAAAGAACAGUAUGUUAAGCCAGGAGUGGAGGUCUUGUUGUUCAACCAUUGUGUGCAUGUUGCUCAAGGAAGCUUGGUUGCUUGCUGUACAGGAACAUGCUUCACCCCCAUCAUGAUGCAUGGAGGACAUGUCCAUCUUCGAUGCCAUAAAAGAAGUUGUUCAUUUGCAUAGAGGGUGUGGAAUAAAGGGAGUUGCCAGCCCCACCUGCACUUCCUAGUUCCAAGCAUUCAAUAAUCGAAGGCAUCGAUACAUUUAUCAGCGAGGCCAUGGAAGGAUACCAUGUUGCAACAUGGAGAGCUUGGUCAUAUGCACGUGUUUUGCUCCAUUUGCCGAGGUUCUCAUUUGAAACUGAAGGAACUAAGCAAUUAUUAGCAAUUGCUUUUUGUAAAGCUCAAAGCAAGCCAAUGGCUUUGAGGAAGCCUCUUUUGCUAGUUGUAUAUGUUGCCCUGAUUAAAUAAAAGAGGUUUUGGAGAAGGAUGAGGAUGAAGGUCUCACAGUGUGGGUGCGUGAAGUGGUGUAUAUUUUUGCUCAUUUAUUCCAGCCUGGUCUUUCAUCUAGCU